AUGAGGGUGUACUCCAAACAGGGCCCAAAGCAUGUGGAGAGGAAGGACGCCCACAGGCAUUUGUUGGCGCGAGCCGAUGCGAUCCCGCUGUGGCAAUUGGGAUGGGUAGAUGGAGAGGCAUGGUGGAGGCCGGUGGCAGCAUCUGGCAAGGAAACAAUGAGUGAGGCGGCGGCAGUGUACAGUGGCAUGGCCGUUGUGUGGCAGCCAUCGCAUAGACAUCGAAGGAGCACCAGCGACACGUGCGCACACACAGACACACACACUGCUGGUGCUGCUGGAGACCAUGGGGCUGAGCGAGAAUGA
rnacentral:rRNA from 1 species